rnacentral:rRNA from 1 species
AACGAACGCUGGCGGCAGGCUUAACACAUGCAAGUCGAACGCCCGCAAGGGGAGUGGCAGACGGGUGAGUAACGCGUGGGAAUCUACCCAUCCCUACGGAAUAACGCAUGGAAACGUGUGCUAAUACCGUAUACGCCCUACGGGGGAAAGAUUUAUCGGGGAUGGAUGAGCCCGCGUUGGAUUAGCUAGUUGGUGGGGUAAAGGCCUACCAAGGCGACGAUCCAUAGCUGGUCUGAGAGGAUGAUCAGCCACAUUGGGACUGAGACACGGCCCAAACUCCUACGGGAGGCAGCAGUGGGGAAUAUUGGACAAUGGGCGCAAGCCUGAUCCAGCCAUGCCGCGUGAGUGAUGAAGGCCUUAGGGUUGUAAAGCUCUUUCACCGGAGAAGAUAAUGACGGUAUCCGGAGAAGAAGCCCCGGCUAACUUCGUG